rnacentral:rRNA from 1 species
GACGAACGCUGGCGGCGUGCUUAACACAUGCAAGUCGAACGAUGAAGCUAGAGCUUGCUCUGGUGGAUUAGUGGCGAACGGGUGAGUAACACGUGAGUAACCUGCCCCGAACUCUGGGAUAACUGCUGGAAACGGUAGCUAAUACCGGAUAUGACCAAUGAAGGCAUCUUCUGUUGGUGGAAAGAAUUUCGGUUCGGGAUGGACUCGCGGCCUAUCAGCUUGUUGGUGAGGUAACGGCUCACCAAGGCGACGACGGGUAGCCGGCCUGAGAGGGUUGUCGGCCACACUGGGACUGAGACACGGCCCAGACUCCUACGGGAGGCAGCAGUGGGGAAUAUUGCACAAUGGGCGCAAGCCUGGUGCAGCAACGCCGCGUGAGGGACGACGGCCUUCGGGUUGUAAACCUCUUUUAGUAGGGAAGAAGCGAAAGUGACGGUACCUGCAGAAAAAGCACCGGCUAACUACGUGCCAGCCGCCGCCGUAA